rnacentral:lncRNA from 1 species
UCUCUAGUGAAUCACAGAAGCUUAGAUAAUCUUGGGGAUUCCUGAUAGUUCCAAAAAAAAGUAAUGUAAAUAUAGACUUCCCUCUCCCUUCUAUAGUGUAGAUCUGUCAUUUCACUUUGUCAUAGGUAACUCUUUUUUGCCUAUCCAAGACCCUUGACCAAUAGUGAACUUUGCCAUUUUCCUGGCUUGGUACAUGCAUUUCUUUUAAUCUUCUUUUCUAGAAUUGAGUACUCUUGGAGCAUCCGUAUUUUAUGUAGGUAAUUCCUCUAAUUAUUGAGGAGGUGUUUUAAAAUUUUUGAAUAGUAUUGUCAAAUGAUGAGUAGAUUAUUUUUGCUAGACUCAAAAUAAUUGAAUUUCAUUUCAUUGCUUUGUUAGUGAAUAUUGCCUGAAGAAUAUCUGCCUUUGGUGGCUCAGGAACUUGUAGCCCAGCUACAGAAUAACUCCAGUUUGGCGUCCGGUCACAACUGAGACUUCAGUGAUCCAGUGAUGCUGUGAUUUUCCAGGACAAGAAACAUCCUGGGAGCUGAAAACAUCCUGGGAGAACAAACAUCUGCUCAGUUCCUCAUUGUUCUUAGAUUUCCACUGCCCCCCAUCCUUUUGUUACACCUUGUUAAUCCCAAUGUGAACUAUUGAACUCUAUAUUUCAUUUGUUGCAUUUAUUUCUCCCGACGUACUGAAUAAAAGGUGUGGUAAGCCGGGGGCUUUUGUCUUUGCUGCCCUGAGCAGCACUGAUCAGACCCAAAGCUCAGCUUCUUCUCAGUCUCAUUUUUCUACCUUUCCUGUAAUUCAUCGUGUGCUGCCAUGGCUCGCAGGAGACCAGGACUCACUGCAGAGGUUCUGGUAAUGUCCCCUUCCCCUGUUCCCUACACAUAAACGCCCUACUUUCAACCAAGCAGGCUAUGAAUCUCUCUCCAGGACUCAUUCUUUGCUGUCACCAGACAUUGUACAUAAGUAAAGUAUUAUACUGUGCGUGAACAUCACCAAGAAGUGGUUGAAAAUUACAUGCAUGAGCCAUAAUGUAAUUCACCAUUUUUGUGACAUCUUUGAGGAUAUUGUCUAAUUUUUUAUUGCUUUCUCUAGAACAAAGAGGUUCUUGAUGUAUAAUACAAUGAAACUCAAUGGUUCUUUUGCUUCUUUAACAAAGAACUGUACAAAACCAGAUGUUGCCCCACAAUACAGGGUGUCCCAUCACUAGUAAUUGAAACCACUUUAUCUGGACUUAUGUCUUGUGACAAAAAAGCCUCCAUAACAACACUGUAGAUACUGAUCCCUGUGUUCUUCCAGGCAAAGACACCAGUUUCACUAGGUCUUCUUUCAUGAUGUCACCAACAGCAUAACAUAAAAUUACUGCUACCCUUGCAAGAUUAUUAUCUGUGCUUUCAUCCAAGCACAUGGCUGCCUUUUGUAAGUCAGUGGUGAGCUGCUGACUAACACCACUUGGUAUACACAGAACUUGAUCUUUAACAGUAUCUGAGCUAAGUGGCAUCUCAGAGAUGCAUUGCAUAAUUUUACCUUGUUCGGGA